UGGCGGCGUGCCUAAUACAUGCAAGUCGAACGGUCUUUUCUAUGGAAGCUUGCUUCCACUGAGAAGAUAGUGGCGAACGGGUGAGUAACACGUGGGUAACCUGCCCAUAAGAGGGGGAUAACAUCCGGAAACGGGUGCUAAUACCGCAUAGUUUUCUUGAUCGCAUGAUCGGGAAAGGAAAGACGGCCUUUGUGCUGUCGCUUAUGGAUGGACCCGCGGCGUAUUAGUUAGUUGGUGAGGUAACGGCUCACCAAGACGAUGAUACGUAGCCGACCUGAGAGGGUGAUCGGCCACAUUGGGACUGAGACACGGCCCAAACUCCUACGGGAGGCAGCAGUAGGGAAUCUUCCGCAAUGGACGAAAGUCUGACGGAGCAACGCCGCGUGAGUGAAAGAAGGUUUUCGGAUCGUAAAACUCUGUUGUCAGAGAAGAACAAGUUGGAGAGUAACUGCUCCAGCCUUGACGGUAUCUGACCAGAAAGCCACGGCUAACUACGUGCCAGCCGCCGC
rnacentral:rRNA from 1 species